rnacentral:misc_RNA from 1 species
GGCAAAGGCAUUUCCAACCAUUCAACAUACUCCCAAGAGCAUGACAUAGUCUCCCUUUAAUGUCACUAACAAAAUUAGCAGAUAAGGUACUUAUCAAACGACGAAAUCAACUACAAAUAGUUAGAACUACAACAUAAUGCAUACUGUGCAACGAAAUAUCGAAUCCUGAUUAACCUAACAAAUUGACAGUAACAAAUACAUCCCUUAGAAGUAACUACACUGUCUAAGCGCAUCUUCAUCCCGUCACCAACAACUAGCUCUGCCCUGGAACUGCCUUGAUUUUCACAGUCUCCAGCCCUGAAUAAUGUUUGCACUCUCGAGUUAAACCACUGCCUCCAUCUCUGCAACAUCCGGUCCUGCUAACUCUUCUAACUCUUGAAAUGCUGCCAGAGCAGUUGCUGGUGUUUCAGCAUUUAAGCAUGGCCUCAGAGCAUUUGCUGCCUCCCUGAUUCUUGAUUGCAUAUUAUCAAGUUUGCCCUUUAGAUCUUCAUAAGCUACCACCAACUUGGGGUCCGAAACUGCAGGGGAUGUCACAUUCUUUUUCGGUCGACCUAGAGGCUUCCCCGAAAGCUUCCUGGCUCUCUUAACAGUAGAAGUAACCGCUGGACUACUGUAUGCUUUUGGAGGACGUCCGCGUCGCUUUCCAAGGGGCGUAGUAGCCCCAUUUGUGACACCACUAACAGUGUUAGGGAAGCCCUCGGAAUCAAAAGCAGCAGCAAUAGGCACAUCAGUGACACCGACAGAUGCAGCAGCGGGUCCACCUUGAUUGUUAGAUUUUGCUGGCCUUCCCCGUCGUUUAGGGGUUGGUGUUUGAGCAGUAAGGUCACCACCACCAACAGGAAUAUUGGGAUUACCAGAAGGAAUGCUGGCUGCAUCGGCAUUAACACUAACAGACACGUUCUUCCUAGGUCGGCCUCUUCGUCCAGGAGUAGAACCUUUCUUUGGCCGCCCUCUGGGUUUGGAGGAAGCCGCAGCAGAUGCAGGAGAAGAAGCAUUUACUGUGCCAGUCUUAGCAGAACGACCAGGUCGCCUCUUCGUACCACUCUGUUCAGGUGAUUUUGUUUCCAACGACCUUACUACAGUGGAACCAUCCUUCCGAGGACGGCCAGAGCGUCUCUUGUUGUUACUUGCCGGUACCGGAGUUCCAGCAGGAGAAGGAACAGAACCACCUGGAUUCUGAACCCCAACAGGCCCAUCAGCUAACCCAAGAGAAACAAACACAGACUGAGCCCCAAGAUUCGUAUAAUUCUCAGCUUCAUGAGGAGCAGCAAAUCCCUGUGGCUGUUGCUGAGACUGAAAAAGGAUCUGAUUUUGGAGUAACGGAUCAGGCUGAAACUGCUGGAAUUGCGGUUGAGGAACGAACUGAGGCUGGAACUCUGCUUGUUGCUGCUGUUGGGCCUGAAUCUGAGCCCCUUGAAAUGGGUCUUGAUACUGGGCAUCAGGCUUCGACUUCGGAGGACGACCAGGUUUCCGCUUAGAAGGAGUAGCAUCACCCCCAUUUGAAUCAACGGCCGCCGCCUCCGGCGGAGGCGGAGCAGAUCCAGGUGUCGCAAGCAGGUAGGAAUGUUUCACCAUAGCAAGAUAUCCAGAAUUCUUCAAGCGCUUGAGAUGAUGAGUCAACAAAGCGGAGUGAUUGGGUGGUAGAUUUGGGUGGACUCUGUCUAUAUACUUGGCUAUCGCUACCCUGCUUGACCCUUCUUUCUCCUUUAACGCCGUUAUAGCCGCCGUUAUCAACUCAGCAUAAUCAGGUUCGGGAAAGGAGAAAUCAGGGGCUAGGGUAGGGUCUUGGGGAGGGGGGUUAAGGUCAUGGUUAACGAGCUGUGGAGGGUUAUACGUCGGUUGUUCUAUAUCCAUCGGUAGAUCCAUGGAUGGGUCCAUAAGGGCAUGUAUAUAAAUUUAAUUAAAAAAAGCUUAAAAUACAGAAAUGGUGAAAUUCAGAGAAGAAAUCAAGAAGUGAGAGAUAGAGAGAGAGUGU